UACGAAGGGACCUAGCGUAGUUCGGAAUUACUGGGCUUAAAGAGUUCGUAGGUUGUUGAAAAAGUUAGUGGUGAAAUCCCAGAGCUUAACUCUGGAACUGCCAUUAAAACUUUUCAGCUAGAGUAUGAUAGAGGAAAGCAGAAUUUCUAGUGUAGAGGUGAAAUUCGUAGAUAUUAGAAAGAAUACCAAUUGCGAAGGCAGCUUUCUGGAUCAUUACUGACACUGAGGAACGAAAGCAUGGGUAGCGAAGAGG
rnacentral:rRNA from 1 species